rnacentral:rRNA from 1 species
GCCAACAGCCAUAUCACUCUGCAACUCACGACUGGCAACCCACUGAUGCUCAGCAGGUGUGAGCCUGGUCAGUACCUGGAUGGGAGACCUCCUGGGGAAAAACUAAGGUUGCUGCUGGAA